rnacentral:lncRNA from 1 species
CAUUAAAGGGGUUGUUAAGAAGUACUUUUGGGUCUUCUAUUAAAACUAAAAAACAAAAUGAGAAAAAUAAUGGGAGAAGAGGAAAAGUUGACCAGAGAAGGGUAAGAAAGUUUGCAUAGUGGAGAUGGGUAGAGGAGCACCAUCAAGUAUCUCCAGCUUCAGCCAGUGAUGCCUUGGCCUUUAGCUGCUCUUUAAAGCAUAGGGCAAAGGUUGCAGAUACUUCCUACCAUUAACUAGUGUGUGACCUUGGACAAGUGUUUUAACAUUUCUCUGCUUCAUUUUCCUCACUAAGAUUGUCCCCACUUAUGGAGUUAAUGAUCCCUACUGUACCUCCCUCACAGGAUU